UCCGAUUUGUCACCGGCAGUCUCCCAUGAGUCCCCGACAUUACUCGCUGGCAACAUGGGACAGGGGUUGCGCUCGUUGCGGGACUUAACCCAACAUCUCACGACACGAGCUGACGACAGCCGUGCAGCACCUGAACCGGCAGUCCCCGAAGGGAAAAUCCUAUUUCUAGGACGGUCCGCCGUUGUCUAGCCCAGGUAAGGUUCUUCGCGUUGCGUCGAAUUGAGCCACAUGCUCCACCGCUUGUGCGGGUCCCCGUCAAUUCCUUUGAGUUUUAACCUUGCGGCCGUACUCCCCAGGCGGUCAACUUCACGCGUUAGCUUCGUUACCAAGGAAUUGCUUCCCCGACAACUAGUUGACAUCGUUUAGGGCGUGGACUAC
rnacentral:misc_RNA from 1 species